UACGUAGGGUGCAAGCGUUGUCCGGAAUUAUUGGGCGUAAAGAGCUUGUAGGCGGUUCGAUAAGUCUGCUGUGAAAGUCCAGGGCUCAACCCUGGAAAGCCGGUGGAUACUGUCGGACUAGAGUGCGGAAGAGGCGAGUGGAAUUCCCGGUGUAGCGGUGAAAUGCGCAGAUAUCGGGAGGAACACCAAUUGCGAAGGCAGCUCGCUGGGACGUUACUGACGCUGAGACGCGAAAGCGUGGGGAGCAAACAGG
rnacentral:rRNA from 1 species